UACGGGAGGCAGCAGUGGGGAAUAUUGCACAAUGGGCGAAAGCCUGAUGCAGCUAUGCCGCGUGUAUGAAGAAGGCCUUAGGGUUGUAAAGUACUUUCAUCGGGGAGGAAAAACAAAACUAAUAAUUUUAUUUCUUGACGUUACCCGAAAAAGAAGCACCGGCUAACUCCGUGCCAGCAGCCGCGGUAAUACGGAGGGUGCUAGCGUUAAUCAGAAUUACUGGGCGUAAAGAGCACGCAGGCGGUUAAUUAAGUUGGAUGUGAAAUCCCCGGGCUUAACCUGGGAAUGGCAUUCAAGACUGGUUAGCUAGAGUCUUGUAGAGGGGGUAGAAUUCCAUGUGUAGCGGUGAAAUGCGUAGAGAUGUGGAGGAAUACCGGUGGCGAAGGCGGCCCCUGGACAAAGACUGACGCUCAUGUGCGAAAGCGUGGGGAGCAAACAGGGAUUAGAUACC
rnacentral:rRNA from 1 species